rnacentral:lncRNA from 1 species
GCUGCUGGGAUUGUCGCUUCUGUAUUAGCUAUUCCAAAAUCCUCUGUUGUUGUUCUCACUGUGCCUCCAAUAUUUUCAUCAUAUCUUCCCUUGCAAUAGUUUAUUAUUGCACCAAAAUCUGCAUUAAUUGAGAGACAGAAACAUAUUCUCUGAGCUGAAUUUCAGGUGCACCUAGAGUCUGUCCCUGGAGUAUUUUCAAUGGGCUUA